GAAUUGCUGGUGCUUACCACAGCUGCGUUCUUAUACCUGCUGUUUCGAAAGAGGAGGUAGACAGACUCUGUAUCCCAUAUAUAUCUCAGCCCAGUAUCUUUACUAAUUUGUAUUGUGAAUGGAGGGACAUGA